GAGAAUUCCGUGUUGUGCGAGAUAAUAGAGUUAACCAAAAUGUCAAUAGAGUGGUAAAGGCUGUCCAGACUUCUACAUCUGCUGAACCAGCGAUUUCAAAUACUUCUGCACAAAGCAGUUCAAAAGGGACCUCUAGCAAUACUCUAUCCACUGGGAGUCGUUCAUCUCAAGCUCGAAAUAGGAACUCUCAACAUACACACUCUAAUGAUGCUAAUUUAAGUAGCACUAAUGGUCAAGGUUUGUCUGGAGAAAUGCAUGCAUCUGUUUCAAAUGCUGCUUCACAGAUAGGAGGGGUGAAGCCAAAUGGUUCUCGACCACAUUUUAUUACAUCAUCUAGCGAUUCUGUCAUUGGAGUUUAUUCAUCCUUUUCAGAUCCAGUUCAUGUACCAUCUCUUG
rnacentral:misc_RNA from 1 species